AGCGUAGGCGGUCUUUCAAGUUAGAAGUGAAAUCCUUGGGCUCAACCCAAGAACUGCUUUUAAGACUGAUAGACUUGAGUGAUGGAGAGGUAAGUGGAAUUCCUAGUGUAGCGGUAGAAUGCGUAGAUAUUAGGAGGAACACCAGAGGCGAAGGCGACUUACUGGACAUUAACUGACGCUGAGGCUCGAAAGCGUGGGGAGCAAACAGGAUUAGAUACCCUGGUAGUCCACGCCGUAAACGAUGGAUACUAGUUGCAGGAGGUAUCGACUCCUCCUGUGACGCAGCUAACGCAAUAAGUAUCCCGCCUGGGGAGUACGGCCGCAAGGUUGAA
rnacentral:rRNA from 1 species